UGCCGAGCCCGCCCGCGAACGCCGGGGGCGGAGCAGCCGCCUCCCCCCUCAGGCCCCGCGGCAGCAGAGGGCUGGCAACUUUCUUUCCCUGUUUUGGAACAUCAGAGAUGGUGUGAGGGAGAGGCUCACUCAGAAUGCAGGUCUGAAAUCCAGUGGAAGCAAUGCUUGGGAGUAAGUCCUGCAGGUAGCAGUUUAAUUUUCCGGCAAAUGAUUCAGUGCCUUUGGACUCAAGAUGACAUCACUUGACUUCCACUUACCUAUUGUGUUAUUCCAGUAUUACUAAGGCGCUCAAGGUCCUAGAUGAAAGGUAUCUACGCUACAAGUCCUCAAAGUGAAAGGACUCUUGUUCCGUAUUGCAUAUGGUGCACUUAAAAGAAUCCAGAAUAAAAUGUCUCAAAAUGUU